GGAGGGGUGUCCGAGUGGCUUAAGGAGCUGGUCUUGAAAACCAGUGACUCCUCCGGGAGCCGUGGGUUCGAAUCCCACCCCCUCCGCCA
rnacentral:tRNA from 1 species